AUUGAUGGAAACACGGAAGCAAACGAGCCCUAAAUCCCUAAGCCCCAAACGCGCUGUUCUUCUUCUCCAAAGAAGAACAUGAACCAAGCCCCAAAUCCAAGCGAGUGAGCAUCAAUUCUUAACUCACGCGUCACUCUGCUUCUCCUCUUGCCGUUGCUAACGGUUUCUGACGCAAGAUUCCCCUCCCCUUCUCACUCCCUCGAAUUCGAGUUGUAACACGCGAUUGGAAGCUUCUGGAGACGAAAUACUGGAUGAGUGUGAGGCGUUGGAUGGAUUUCACUCAAUCCGAGCCCCACAUUCAUCAACGGUUCAUUUUCAAAAGGGGUUGGCAUCCAAUUUUGUGAGGGGACUCGGCUAAAAAAUUCGGAGAAGAAGAAGUGAAAAGGAUUCUAGAAUUUAUGGUUUUUCUGAGCUUGCUUCUUUCUUCUCGAUCGAGUUCUUUUAAAAGUUUAAGAGAAACAUAUAUACAUUUUUAUUUUUGAAUCCGGUUUUGAGUUCCAAGGAGAUAAAAAUUGAAGUUCGAGCUUGGUAGUCUACUGUCGUCUUGCUGAUUUGCCGCUGAACUUCGCUAGGAUUUGGAGUCGAGAGGUGUAUUGUCGAGUCUAUAAUUAUUAACAGGAGUUUGCAACUUCAGAUUUGAAUUUCUUUUCCACCAUGUAACUCUGUUUUUUUGAAAAAAAAUGUUCUUGAGAUGUGCAUUUUAUCUCGAAUGAUUUUAUGAUCAAAUUUCCUAUCGAAUGAACCUAUGUUUGGUGGUAUGAUGUAUUUAAGUAUGUCCAGUUAGUAGAAGUUGAUUUUGAGUGGUCAUUUUUCUACGCUUGUAUGGUUUACCUGUUAUAGUAAUGUCGAGUUUUAGUUUGAGUCCAGAUUUCGUCGAUUUCAAAUAGCUGUUAUCGCUCGGUCAGUUUCUUAUCAUUUGCAAAUGAAAGAUAAUCCCAAACAGUCAUGUACCUCUUUCCAGUUGUGCAGUCAAGUUUAAGUGUCAAUUGAAGUCGGUAAUUGUUCUUUAACAUUCACUGAUUGUAUAUGUUCGUAUUGGCUCUAUUUUCUUUCUCUUGUUCGAAACUUGCCUACCUUGUUACCAUUAUGAGAGUUCUAUUCUUCCAAGCUACUGAAGAAGCCAAUUAGAGAAGCUAAUUUGAAUCGAAUCUGCGGUGUUUAAAU
rnacentral:lncRNA from 1 species